UGAGUCUUAAGUUACAGGCACAAAGCUGC
rnacentral:piRNA from 1 species